UCGCCUGUUUAACAAAAACAUGGCCUAUUGAUAAUAAUUUUAGGUUUAACCUGCCCCCUGAAGAUUUAAAUGGCCGCAGUAAUUUGACUGUGCAAAGGUAGCAUAAUCAUUAGUUUCUUAAUUAGAAGCUGGUAUGAAAGGUUGGAUGAGAAAAAUUCUGUCUCUAUUUAAUUUAAUAUGAAUUUUAUUUUUAAGUAAAAAAGCUUAAAUAUUUUUAAAAGACGAGAAGACCCUAUAGAGUUUAAAAAAUAAAUAUUUUUUUAGUUUUUAGAAAUUUAAUUUAUAAAAAUAUUUAUUUUUUUUAUUGGGGUGAUUGAAAAAUUUAUUAAACUUUUUUUUUAUUUAAACAUUAAUUUAUGAGAAUUUGAUCCAUUAUUUAUGAUUAUAAGAUAAAAUUACCUUAGGGAUAACAGCGUAAUUUUUUUUGAGAGUUCAUAUCGAUAAAAAAGAUUGCGACCUCGAUGUUGGAUUAAAAUUUAUUUUUGGUGUAGAAGUUAAAAAUAUUUGGUUUGUUUCGACCCAUUAAU
rnacentral:rRNA from 1 species